CUGAAACUCCGCCAUCCCAGUAUCGUUUGCGUUGCGGAGAUUUGACGUCGCGGUCGAAGAAGAGAAGAGAAGAGAGACAGAGAAAGCGAAGCUGAGAUCAGAAUGAGGGCCAAGUGGAAGAAGAAGCGUAUGAGGAGGCUUAAGAGGAAGCGCCGAAAGAUGAGGCAGAGGUCAAAGUAGUUUCAUGUCGUGUGGAGUUCCGUUGGCCUUGAUUAGCCUUCAUCUUGUCUACCUGAUAAAACAUACUAUAAAGGGCUGUCAGAGUGGAUGAGGGGCUUUUUGAUCAUUUGGUAUUAGCUUAGUUGUUGCAUAUCAGACUUUAUUUGAGUUCUACACAAAUAGGCAUGUUGUUUGACUUAAUGAAAUGCUUUGAUGUGCUUAGACAUGUUGCUCGGAGAUUGUUUAAGUACCGAUGAAGCAGGGAUUUUGCGCUCAUGAUUUUGUUUAA